CGAACGCUGGCGGCAGGCCUAACACAUGCAAGUCGAGCGCGCCCUUCGGGGUGAGCGGCGGACGGGUUAGUAACGCGUGGGAAUAUGCCCAAUGGUACGGAAUAGCCUCUGGAAACGGAGAGUAAUACCGUAUGAGCCCUUCGGGGGAAAGAUUUAUCGCCAUUGGAUUAGCCCGCGUUAGAUUAGGUAGUUGGUGGGGUAAUGGCCUACCAAGCCUACGAUCUAUAGCUGGUUUUAGAGGAUGAUCAGCAACACUGGGACUGAGACACGGCCCAGACUCCUACGGGAGGCAGCAGUGGGGAAUCUUGGACAAUGGGGGCAACCCUGAUCCAGCCAUGCCGCGUGAGUGAUGAAGGCCUUAGGGUCGUAAAGCUCUUUCGCCUGUGAAGAUAAUGACGGUAGCAGGUAAAGAAACCCCGGCUAACUCCGUGCCAGCAGCCGCGGUAAUACGGAGGGGGUUAGCGUUGUUCGGAAUUACUGGGCGUAAAGCGCACGUAGGCGGAUCGGAAAGUUGGGGGUGAAAUCCCGGGGCUCAACCCCGGAACUGCCUCCAAAACUAUCGGUCUAGAGUUCGAGAGAGGUGAGUGGAAUUCCAAGUGUAGAGGUGAAAUUCGUAGAUAUUUGGAGGAACACCAGUGGCGAAGGCGGCUCACUGGCUCGAUACUGACGCUGA
rnacentral:rRNA from 1 species